UACGGAGGGUGCAAGCGUUAUCCGGAUUUACUGGGUUUAAAGGGUGCGCAGGCGGAUAUGUAAGUCAGUGGUGAAAUCUCUAGGCUUAACCUGGAAAUUGCCGUUGAUACUAUAUAUCUUGAAUGCUGUGGAGGUAAGCGGAAUAUGUCAUGUAGCGGUGAAAUGCUUAGAUAUGACAUAGAACACCUAUUGCGAAGGCAGCUACUACGCAGAUAUUGACGCUCAUGCACGAAAGCGUGGGGAUCAAACAGG
rnacentral:rRNA from 1 species